CCCGCAUACCCCACAACAACCACCACCACUUUCUUCCUUCGGCACAAGGAAGUGAAAGAAGUUGCGACCGAGUGAAGUCGACGUUGACGCUCGGCAAGCACGUGGUGCGAUGUGUCGCGCCGCCUCGUCACGUGAGCGCGACGUGCAGAGCGGUGACGUCACGGCUCGUUAUCCCGGGAUGAGGAUGAGGAGGAGGACGGCAAGCAGCUGGAGACGACGACGAUGACGACGAUGAUGAUGGACGAGGUUCGGGGACGGCUCCGCGCGACUCGCAGACGGGGAGCCUGAGCCUCGUGGGGCCCCCCACAAGCAGUUGAAGCGGAGCACCACCCCCCCCCUCUCCUCCUCCUCUCUCCUCCUGCUGCUGCUGCUGCUGUCUCUUCACGAGCAGCAGGAAUUAGGGAUUAUAAGCACAGCGACUGGAGACCGCAACACGGAAAUCACGAGGGCUGUGACACAGACAGCACUAGCAUUGUAACACACAUCACUAGCAUUGUAACACACAGCACUGGCACUGUGACACACAGAGAACACUAACAUUGUAACACAGCACUAGCACUGUGACACACAGAGAACACUAGGAUUGUAACACACAGCACUAGCAUUGUAACACACAGAGAACACCAGCAUUGUAACACACAGAACACUAGCACUGUAACACACAGCAC